rnacentral:rRNA from 1 species
AUGCGUCAAUCCAAUCACUGCCGCCCCUUCCGCCCGCCGGACUGGGGUUCUCCGCCUCCGCACUGCCGCCCGCACCACCAGCAGAGCCACCGCCAGCCGCAAUCGGCCCCGCGGUUCGCCGUCAUCCUCUUCCGCGCGGGCCCCAACAUCUCCACCCCGACCGCCACUGAGAUUGACGCGCUCGUCGCCGAUCUCCCCUCGCCGCCCCCCGACAACCUCUCCGUAUUCUCCUCCGGCCGCGACGCCGCUCGCCUCCUCUUCCGCUUCCUUCCCGCCGCCGCGGCCGCAGCGCGCGAGCUCUGGUCGCUCCGCCUCGAGGGCCUCCACCUCCUCACGCCCUACCUCCCCAAUGCCGCGCUUGCCGCCCACGCCUUCCCACUCAUCGCCUCUCUCUUCGCCUCCCACGCCUCCCGCCUCCUCGACACCGACCUCGUUUCCCGUUCUGCCGCCCGCUCUGCUGAGCUCGCAGCCUCCAUCCAGUCUCUGGAACACCGCCUGCGCAGUCGCAAUUCCGUCCGCGACUUCGACCAGCUCCAUCUCCAGAAGAAAACAUUGGAGGCCGAGAAGGACUUGGUAGAUGCCAAAAUUGCCGAGUACAAAGCAUCAAUGAGUUCCAUACGGCGUGCCAUGUUACGUGGGACCGAUGAUGAGGAGGAGGAGGGGGUGGAUGUGUUUGGGAUUGGGGAACGCGAGGAUGUGGACUUCGCGAGGUUGCACAUGAUGAUGCUUCGUGAAUGCAGGAGACUCAACGAGGGGCUACCAAUUUAUGCAUACCGCAGAAAAAUUCUCAAUCACAUUUUUAAUAAUCAGGUUAUGAUCUUAAUUGGGGAGACUGGUUCUGGGAAAAGCACACAGUUAGUUCAGUUUCUUGCUGACUCAGGUCUUGCUGCUAAUGGCUCAAUUGUCUGUACUCAACCUCGAAAAAUUGCUGCCACGUCAUUGGCACGUAGAGUGGAUGAAGAAAGCAACGGCUGCUACGAAGACAAUUUCGUGUUGUCAUAUUCAACCUUUUUAAAUUCUCAAGACCUCAAUUCGAAGAUCAUAUUUUGCACAGAUAGUUGUCUUUUACAUCACUGCAUGAACGACACGGGCCUGGAUGGCAUUUCAUAUAUCAUUGUUGAUGAAGCUCAUGAAAGAAGCUUGAACACUGAUCUUCUUUUAGCCUUGAUCAAGAAGAAGCUGCUUGAUAGGUUGGAUUUGCAUCUCAUUAUAAUGUCUGCCACUGCUGAUGCUGACAAACUUGCUGACUACUUUUAUGGCUGUCAAACAUUCCAUGUUAAAGGGCGAAAUUUUCCUGUUGAAAUUAAUUAUGUCCCAGAUGUAUCAGUGGAGGCUUCCUCCAAUGCUGUGCCAAACUCUAUGUGUGAUGCUUGUGCAACUGCUUCUUAUGUCAAUGAUGUUGUAAGGAUGGUAAGCAUCAUUCACAAGAAUGAAGAAGAGGGUGCUGUCCUUGCUUUCUUGACAUCUCAGCUGGAAGUUGAAUGGGCUUGUGAAAAUUUCAGCGAUGCAAGUGCCGUGGUACUUCCUAUGCAUGGAAAGCUUUCCCAUGUAGAACAGAGCCGUGUUUUUAAAAGCUAUCCUGGAAAGAGAAAAAUUAUCUUCUGCACGAAUAUGGCUGAAACAUCACUGACAAUAAAAGAAGUAAAGUAUGUUGUUGAUUCUGGACUAGCCAAGGAGAGCAGAUUUGUGCCCAGUAGUGGUCUCAAUGUAUUGAAAGUUAAUUGGAUUUCCCAAAGUUCUGCUAAUCAACGUGCUGGCCGGGCAGGUCGAACAGGAGCAGGGAAGUGUUACAGGCUUUACUCUGAAGCUGACUUCAGUAUGAUGGAUGUGCAUCAAGAACCUGAGAUCAGGAAAGUUCAUCUUGGCACUGCUGUUCUAAGAAUACUUGCUUUGGGUGUUAAAGAUGCACGGAAAUUUGAGUUUGUUGAUGCCCCAAAUCCCGAAGCAAUCAGUAUGGCUGUGAAGAAUCUUGAACAGUUGGGUGCUGUCAAACAUAGACUUAAUUGCUUUGAGCUGACUGAUACUGGACGCUACCUGGUCAAAUUGGGGAUUGAGCCAAGGCUUGGGAAAAUUAUGCUUGAUUGCUUUGAUGUUGGUUUGAGGAAGGAAGGUGUAGUUCUAGCUGCUGUUAUGGCAAAUUCUAGCAGCAUAUUUUGUAGAGUGGGCACCGAUGAGGAGAAACAUAAAGCUGACCUUCAGAAGGUCCGGUUGUGUCACCGAGAUGGAGAUCUUUUCACUCUACUUGCUGUUUAUAAGAAAUGGGAAGAUGGGCAUGACAACAGAAAUAUGUGGUGCUGGCAGAACAGCAUCAAUGCCAAGACCAUGAGGAGAUGCCAGGAAACCAUAUCAGAACUUGAAAACUGUCUAAAGCAUGAACUGAACAUCAUUAUCCCAAGUUAUUGGCGUUGGAAUCCCGAGGCUCCCACUGUGCAUGAUAAGGAUCUAAAGAGAAUUAUCCUAUCAUCACUUACAGGUAAUCUUGCCAUGUUUUUAGGACAUGAAAGGUUUGGUUACCAGGUGAUUUCGACAGGUCAGGUUGUGAACCUUCAUCCCUCAUCCUCAUUGCUCAAUUAUGGCAUCAAGCCAGAGUGGGUUGUGUUUACAGAAAUUUUGUCAGUCCCGAAUCAAUAUUUGGUAUGUGUAACCGCUGUUGAUCAUGAUGCCUUGUAUACAAUUCACCCGGUGUCUUUCAUUCAGCAUCUGGAGGAACAAAAAUUGCAGAUAAAAGUGAUUAGUGGGCUCGGUACUAACUUACUGAGAAGGUUUUGUGGCAAAUAUGGCCAAAAUCAGCAAAAGAUCAUCUCGCGUCUCAAGGAAGAUUGCAGGGAUGACCGAAUAACUGUUGAAAUUAACUUUCAAAAUAAUGAAGUUGUGUUAUUUGCUACGGAACAGAAUAUGGAAAAAGUCUUUUGCACUGUCAACAGUGCUUUGAAAUGUGAAGGUAAGAUAUUGAGGAACGAGUGCCUAGAGAGAAAUUUAUUUCCUGGGAGGCCUGGCAGUUCUCCUAUUGCACUAUUUGGUUCAGGUGCUGAAAUCAAGCAUUUGGAACUUGGGGGGAGGUAUCUAACAGUAGAGGUUUUGCAUCAAAAUGCUCAUGAUAUCGAUGACAAGGAGCUUAUUUUCUUGGUGGAUAGUAUUGUCUCUGGCGUUGCUAAUUUUCAUAAAUCCACUGGAAGUUUUCGGAUAGCCUCAGAUGGAAUUAAAUGGGGGAAGUUUACAUUUCUGAAACCUGAAAAUGCUGAAGAUGCUGUUUCAAAACUCAAUGGCAUAGAAUUUAAUGGUUCCUCAUUAAAAUUAGUUCCUGUAUGUACUUCCGAUAAUCGAGGAUUACCAUUUCCUGCGGUGAGAGCUAAAUUAUGUUGGCCACGUAGAUACAGCAGUGGACGUGCACUAGUAACAUGUGCCAGCGGGGAAGCUGAAUUUGUUGUAAAUGACUGCUUUGCCCUAGGAAUUGGUGGAAGGUAUAUUAAGUGCAGGGUUAGUACUAAGUAUGAGAAUUGUGUUUUUGCUGAAGGAAUUCCAAUGCAUGUCACUGAGCCAGAACUAUAUGAUGCUUUUCGUAGCACAACAGCAAGGAGAAUCCUUAAUAUCCGUUUGCUCAGGGUCAAGGGAAAUGCCAUAGCUAGCCCCUCUGUUUCUACAUGUGAAGAAGAACUGGUCAGAGAAAUUUCUCCAUUCAUGCCAAAUAAGAGUUUUCCUGGACAGAAUUUUCGUGUUGAGGUGUUUCCUCCGGAGGAAAAUGAUUCACUGACAAGAGCAACUAUAACUUUUGAUGGAAGCCUUCAUCGAGAGGCUGCAAGAGCACUGGACCAUCUUGAAGGGCACUUUCUUCCUUGUUGUCAACCUUGGCAGAUAAUACAGUGCAAUCAUGUGUUCCAUAGCACUCUGUCCUGUCCGGUACGUGUUUACAAUGUUAUCAGCCAGGAAGUUGCUUCUCUGCUUGAGAGUUUCCAAAGCCAAAAAGGUGUAUCUUACAAUUUUGAAAAGACCGAGAAUGGCAUUUUUCGAUUAAAGCUCACAGCAAAUGCCACGAAAACAAUAGCAGAUUUGAGAAGGCCACUUGAGAUUUUGAUGAAAGGCAAAACCAUAAACCACCCUGAUCUGACAUUAAGUGCAGUUCAACUGCUCUUGUCCCGUGAUGGUGUAGCACAUUUGAAAUCAAUUGAACAAGAAACUGGUACUUACAUUAUGUAUGACAGGCAAAGUCUAAAUAUUAAAGUCUUUGGACACCAAGAACAGAUGGCUGCAGCGGAGGUGAAAUUGGUUCAUGCACUUCGACAACUACUUGAGAAGAAGCCUCUUGAAAUUUGUCUUCGUGGCCACAACCUCCCUCCAGACUUGAUGAAGAAAACGGUAGAAAACUUUGGAGUUGAUCUGGAAGGGUUUAACAAAGAGAUGCCUGAGAUAAAGGUUGAGUUACACCAACACCGCCAUUUACUUAAAGUUUGGGGCAGUAAGGAGGAUAAGCGAAGGGUGGAAAGGAUGAUCUUUGAGUUAGCCUCCUUUAAACACAGUUCCCUGGUUCAACUUGCAUCAGAGAAUGUUGGAGGCAAAGAAGAUAAUCAAAGGGUGGAUUACAGUGAGCCGUCAGAGGAUGCAUGCCCUAUUUGCUUGUGUGAGAUAGAAGAUCCUUUUAGGCUUGAAUCAUGUGGGCACAUGUUUUGUCUGGCUUGUCUGAUGGAUCAGUGUGAAUCUGCGAUGAAAUCACAUGAUGGGUUCCCUAUUUGUUGCCUGAAAACUGGGUGCAAGGAGCCUCUCCUUGUUGUAGACCUGAAGCAUCUCCUGUCAAAUGAGAAGCUGGAGGACCUAUUCAGAGCUUCCUUGAGGGCAUUUGUUGCAUCUAGAGCAGGAAUGUACCGCUUCUGCCCAACACCUGAUUGCCAAUCCAUCUACCAAGUGGCAGCUCCAGAUGCAGAAACCAAACCUUUUUCUUGUGGGGCUUGCUAUGUGGAGAUAUGCACCAAGUGUCAUUUCGAGUAUCAUCCUUUCAUAUCAUGUGAGGCUUACAAAGAAUACAAGGAAGACCCAGACUCGACGCUGCUUGAAUGGCGCAAAGGGAAGGCGAAUGUGAAGAGCUGCCCUUCCUGUGGAUACACAAUUGAGAAAGCUGAUGGCUGCAACCAUGUUGAGUGCAGGUGCGGCAGCCACAUUUGCUGGGUUUGUUUGGAGAACUUCAGGAGCAGCGAGGAGUGUUAUGGCCAUCUCAGGUCUGUGCACCAGUCCUUUGUGGACAUUGUGUAA